rnacentral:rRNA from 1 species
CCCUUAGAUGUUCUGGGCCGCACGCGCGCUACACUGACGAAUGCAACGAGCUUAUAACCUUGGCCGAAAGGUCUGGGUAAUCUCCAAAUUUCGUCGUGAUGGGGAUAGAUUAUUGCAAUUAUUAAUCUUCAACGAGGAAUGCCUAGUAAGCGCAAGUCAUCAGCUUGCGUUGAUUACGUCCCUGCCCUUUGUACACACUGCCCGUCGCACCUACCGAUUGAAUGGUCCGGUGAAAUCUCGGGACGGCGGCUUGGUCGCUUGCGUCCGACUGCUGAAACUUGAUUAAACCAUAUCAUUUAGAGGAAGGUGAAGUCGUAACA